GUGAGGAAUAUUGCGCAAUGGAGGCAACUCUGACGCAGCCAUGCCGCGUGCAGGAAGAAGGCGCUACGCGUUGUAAACUGCUUUUAACCGGGAAGAAACCCCAGGACGUGUCCUGGGUUGACGGUACCGGAGGAAUAAGCACCGGCUAACUUCGUGCCAGCAGCCGCGGUAAUACGAAGGGUGCAAGCGUUAUCCGGAUUCAUUGGGUUUAAAGGGUGCGUAGGCGGAGCGUUAAGUCAGUGGUGAAAUCCUGCAGCUUAACUGUAGGCUUGCCAUUGAUACUGGCGCUCUUGAGUGCGCUUGAAGUGGGCGGAAUGUGCCGUGUAGCGGUGAAAUGCUUAGAUAUGGCACAGAACACCAAUUGCGAAGGCAGCUCACUAAGGCGAUACUGACGCUGAGGCACGAAAGCGUGGGGAUCGAACAGGAUUAGAAACCCUAGUAGUCC
rnacentral:rRNA from 1 species